CAGGUAUUUCACUCCCAUUCCUUUUUUUUCCUUGUUGUCCUCUCUAGGAAAAAGUUUCAGAAAUUUGUAUACCAGAUUCAGCCAAUGGCAUAAUCCCUUGUUUGUUUAGCAGUCACCAGGGAGCCCUAAUUAAAGUGGAUGUUUGCAUAAUCGUCUUGAAUGAAACUUGGGAUUAUAGUUUCCAUAUCUUAUCACAAUGAGUCAUUUCCCUGGGAACAGAUGUCUGGACUAUUCUGGCUGCUAACUCAAAUCAUCAAUAUUAAAUCAUCAAUAUUUCCAUCGAAGUAGCUUAUGACAACUUUAUCAAGUGGAUGUUGCUAAAGCUUCUAGCGUUCACAGGUGAGAUGGCUUUGCUGGUUG
rnacentral:misc_RNA from 1 species